rnacentral:lncRNA from 1 species
CCGGACCCGCCUCCCAGCCCCGCCCCGGGCCCUUCUCGCCCCGCCCGCUCCGUCCCGCGCGCUCCACCGCCCUCCGGCCUGGGCCCGCCUCCACCCAGCCUCUCCGUGGCUCCCCGGGCUGCCCCCGCCCCCGCCCCCGCCCCCGCCCCCUCCCCCGCCGUCGCCCCAUCCCCCCAGCCCCCACCCUCGGCUGCUGCCCGAGCUUCCUCCACACGCCGUGCAGUCUCCACGGCGACGCGGCGUCCCAGACUCGGAGCCCAGAGCCCCGCGCGAGCAGCUAGCCGGGCUGGCUCUCGGUGUCUGCCCUUCGGAUGGUCGGCUGGAGGGAGCCGCCAGCUGACAGCAAAGAACAGACAGAAUGGCAGAUUGCUAAUAUCUGAUCCAAAGGGAAAAGUGAUGAUUGAAUCUAAUGAAGCAAUGUCAGAUAAAUGUCUCUUUGGACGCAGACCAAGAUUGACAAGCAAACUUAAUACCCCACCAACACAGGUCUCUCUAAAUGUAGCUAAGACAUUCUCAGAAAAGUAAGUUUUAAUUAAUUUUGUUUUUAGGCCCAUGUUUGACAAGUAUAAAUCAUUUUAUGACAAAGUUUAAAAUAGAAAUCUCCUGAAAAAAUUAUUAAUUUCAAUAGAAGUUUUGGGAUACUUCCUAAAUAUA